rnacentral:rRNA from 1 species
UACAGAGGUCCCAAGCGUUGUUCGGAUUCAUUGGGCGUAAAGGGUGCGUAGGUGGCGCCGUAAGUCAGGUGUGAAAUCUCGGGGCUUAACUCCGAAACUGCAUUUGAUACUGCGGUGCUUGAGGACUGGAGAGGAGACUGGAAUUUACGGUGUAGCGGUGAAAUGCGUAGAUAUCGUAAGGGAAGACCAGUGGCGAAGGCGGGUCUCUGGACAGUUCCUGACACUGAGGCACGAAAGCUAGGGGAGCAAACAGG